rnacentral:rRNA from 1 species
GUGCCACAAAAGCUAAAAGGCAAGUUCUACAGGAUGGCGGUUCGACCCGCAAUGUUGUAUGGCGCUGAGUGUUGGCCGACUAAAAGGCGACAUGUUCAACAUUUAGGUGUGGCGGAGAUGCGUAUGUUGAGAUGGAUGUGUGGCCACACGAGGAAGGAUCGAGUCCGGAAUGAUGAUAUACGAGAUAGAGUUGGGAUAGCACCAAUUGAAGAGAAGCUUGUCCAACAUCGUCUGAGAUUGUUUGGGCAUAUUCAGCGCAGGCCUCCAGAAGCUCCGGUGCAUAGUGGACGGCUAAAGCAUGCG